CACCGUGCCGUCCGUCACGUAACGUUCGUUGGAUAUACGCGCGUCGCCGGUCGUCGCCGCCGAGUCGACGAUUCCGAAUUCACGUGUGUGAAAACCGCCUAUUACUUCGGUGUUUUUUUUAUUCUUUUUUUCACAGUUUUUCCGGUGUUUUUUUCUGUUUUUUUUUUCUUUUGUUUUUUAUUUUUUUCUAUAUUUAGUGGCUUUUCCGAAGAAGAGCGUUGCGUGCCGACGUUGUUUUGUGCGCGUGCAUUGUGUUUUCGUAUAUUCCGCCGCGCGCCGUGGUGUGAUCGAGUUUUACGCCGUUUUCCCGACAAACGUAAGUUGCCUGUUGUACUUAGUUUUAUAGUCGUAAUAUUGUCGAAAUCCCAGUAACUGAGGAACAACGCGUUCCCGCACUAAUCGGCCGCGAUCCGUUUUGGGCGCACGACACUGUACGCCCGCACUUUGGCCCUCCGAUAACACCGGAUACGCGUCGUUUUUUUUUCGUGAGCACCCGACCAAACCGCCGGUUUUAGAUCGCGCGACUCGCGUGGGUUCGUCACGAAUUCGGGUCAUUUCGGCUCGUAAACGGUGCCCGCCAAGUCUCCCGGUCGAACGUCUUGUAUAACGCCGUUGUAAACCGCGGCGAAACCCUUGUGAAAAAAAAAAACUCCGAUCGAUCUGAAAAUCUUCAAUUGUUGUUGUUGUUAUUGUUGUUAACCGACGACGUCGCGGCGUUCUUCAAGGACGCGGUUACGUGCCUUUUCGUCCUUAAUAUGUGUUUCGACUACCUGUCGUCGUCGUCGUCGUGGUCGUCUGUUCGUUUUUGUGACGAAACUUCCGGCCCUUACGUGACACACAUCUGCGCCGCGCAAGACGUGGGAAUUCGUGCCGUGUAGUUUACUGUAAUGUGAAAUUUCUUAAAAAAAAAUCUACCGUAACCGUAUAGGUUGUUUACGCGUCACAGGGAACUCCCAACCCCUCCCCUUGUCCUCUCCGACGACCGUGUAAAUGUUGUUGGUGAUUCAUCGUUUUAGCGCGUGUCGAUGAUUAAGGUGCACGGGUAUUCUAAAUCUGUUCAAGACGAAACGAUUCUAAUUGUUCGGGCUUAUUUGCGAAAUCGAUUUGACUUUAUUUUGUAAUUGUUUUUUUUUUUUUUCAUACAUCGUUAUUGGCGGCUAUUGUUGUUUCGUCGAGUAAAUCGCUUUAUAAGAAGAUUAUCGCGAUCGUCUACAAUAUCGUGAACGACGGGUUGUUAAAAAUGAAAAGAAAAAAACAAAACAAAACGUAAAGUCAAUCGUUUAAAUUGCAGAGCGGUACGUUUUAAUCCGAUUAAUUAAUAAACCCGAACACUAUACGGUGGUUCUUUAAUGAUGCAAUUCGAAGCAAUACGAGUCAAAUAUCGGACGUUUAAUGGAUAUUGGAAGUUUAAAUCCAACACCCGAAGUCGUACCUAAGUACGUUAAUGAUUACAAUAUCGAUUGAUUUUAGUUUUUCGAGACGAGGAACGUGUAAUAGCUUCUUAUUUUUUUUUACUUUUGUCGAAAAGUUUAGCUUUUCUGAAUGCUGCGGAAUAAUCCGAUAUUCGUUCGAAGUACCCAAAUACCCUAAUAUACCCAAGUAGUUACUGAGAUUAUUGUUUUUAUCGAUUUAACCGUUUGUAAAAGCAGUACCCGUAUUGUAUAUGAUUAAAAUUUAUGAAAAAUUGAUUUUCACUUAGGUACCUAUGUAAUAAAAAAAAACACACAUGCACACAAACGGGUAUAAUAUAAUCAAAUAAAGAAACCUUUGAGUGGCGCGAUUUAUAUUAUGCGUUUCCCCUAUCGUGCGGCUUAUUAUAUUAUUGUCCUUUUUUGUAAGGGAAAAGUUUCUACAUUUCGUUUCGAUGUUUUUUUUUUUUUAUUACCACUUCAAUUAUUUCGAUAAAGAUUAUUUUGUUUGCAUAUUACGCGUGAUAUGCUCUGAUAUAUACAAUCGUAUUAACCCAAUUUCCGUUAAUUGUUCUCGUAAUUUCUUCAUAUCAUAUUUUAUCUAAUUUAUAAGCUACAAUAAAACGGGUAGGAAUACCUGCGCUUAGCAUACUGCAGUUAUGCACUCUUUGGCUAGCGCCGAUGCAAUAGACCGCGCGUCGUGUGUAUUAAUAUUGCAGCGCAAACUUUUUUUUUUUUUUCACGCCGUUUUAACGAACGAUUUAUGAACGUUCUGUAUAUUUAUAAAUAUUGAAUACUAUUGUCCUACUUACCGAAUUAUCAAUUAACAGAAAGAAUAUUAAAAAAAAAAAAAAAAACGUUCUAUAUUUUACCAUUACGACUCCGGACCUAAUCACCUCGAGCCUUGAACUCUCGGCGUAUACACGCUGUGUAUAUUAUAUACGACGUGUGUAUACGUUCUAUAUUAUAAUUUCUGCGGGCGUUUCGUCUAUUUGGUUUAGAUUAUAAACGUUAUCGGAACGAACGCGUUUCACUGAAAAAAUAAGGCUCGCCCGCAAUAUCCGCAGCGGCCCUUGAAAUCGAGUUUACCAUGCACGAAAAUGCCAGUGUAAUAAUAUUAUGCAGGUUAUAAAGUCUAUACGGUAUGUUAUUAUUAUACUAUACACGGGUAUAGUGUAAGUGAUUAUUACUAUUAUUUCUCGAUUUAUUAUUAUUAUUAUUAUUUUUUUUUUUUUUUUCAUUAUUAAUAUUCAUCGAGACGUCGUUUUUAUUGAGUACGCGUAUUGUGGUGCCGUAUAGGUUCGUCAAUAAAACGUCUGUCAGUCAUAAUAAUGACAAUAAUAUACAAUAUAAUAUUAUACCGGGGGAAACGAGGACGAAAUAAAUAAAUAAUAAAGAAUUGAAUUCGCGUUCGAAUUGGCGUUUCAACGUCCCAACACGCGCUUGUGUUUGUUAAUCGUCGGCGCGAUAUUAUUGUAAUAAUAUAGGUAUAGGUGUGCAACUCGCGUUAAACGAUUAAUCUCGAACGAAUUAUUGUAAAAUUAACACGAUAAUACCGGGUGUAACGUACUGCAAAACGUUUAAUUUUCUCACAGAUUAUCACCUGUAUCACUCGAAACGCCGUCGUCGAUAUGAUGUUUUAAACGGGUUUAAUAUGUUUUACCUAUAUACGUUCAAUCAGUGACGGGGCGAGGGGGGAGGGUGUUUUGGUGUUCAAACGCCCCUCUUUGACUAUAUAUUUAUGCCGAAAAUUAUAAUUUUCACCAUAUCAUGCAGUUAUGGUGUAAAAAGAAAACAAACGAUUAAAAGCAAAUUUGAUUAAUUUACCCCUUUAAGCAAUGCUUGUGGCGGAGUAAAUGAGUUACGACGUGUAAAUUGUGAUUAAAAUUUGAAAUUUAAAUUCUAAAAGAAAAAAAAAUCCACUAAUACCAUAAACUAAACAGAAUCAAUAAAUUUUAAAAUAACAUUAAAUACCUAUACUUUUAAAUGUAUUGUAUAGAUAUAAAUAUAAGUUUUAAAUAUCCUAGUAUUUUACAAUUUUUCUGAAAUUUAAACAAAUACAAUUUUUUAUUUUAUUCAUAACCAUUUUUUUAACCUAUUAAUUAAGUUAUACAUCAGAUUUCUACAAAAUAUGUUGUGUUACGCAUAGAUAAUUAUUAAGUGUAUUAUACAUGUUAUGAUGUGUGGUUACAUUAUUCGCGAAAUAAAGUUACAAAGUUACAUCUAAAAACGAAAUACAAUCACCCCCCCCCCCCCCCAAAAAAAAAAAAAAAAAAACAUCCUGGGUAUGCCAUUACGUUCGAUUAAUAUUGUCCCGAACAUUCGGUCGAGAAGGCCUAUUCUAUGUAUCGGGGUCUGCCUUGUGACUUCCGAGACCCUUAAAUAGUCGUUGACCGCUUUCGAAAUGGCGUAAACAGCGCGUGUUCAAUACGGGUCUGUCUAUUUCUUGUAAUUUUAGCGAUCUGCGCGCCCCUGUAGCACAAGAAAAUAAUCGUCAGAUUGUCUGUGUUGAGCCCCGUAUGCGAUUUACACGAAAAAUGAAUUCGGCGUUUCUUGUUGAAUUGAAAAUCAUGCAUUCAGCUUAAUAUCGCGUAUUUUCGUUCAAACGAUAGUUUAUAAUAGUUUCUGGGGCUUGGGUCAAAAAAAUCCAAUGUCACUUUUUGGUGGAAAUGAGUUGUAUGGCCAAUCGUAUAAAAUUGUAUACGCUUUAUUUUAUAUAGUGGCAAAAGGGCGUAUCUCAAUAAUCGUUAUUGUGAGAUUUAAGAAGACCAAUGUGCUUAGAAAAAUUACCGUUACCGCAAUGUCAAAAAUAAAAUUCAAAAAUGCGUUUUAUUCUUAGUUUCUUAAAAGUGAUUUAUUGACCAUUUUUGACCCAAGCCCCAGAAUUAUAUUUGUGUAUAUAUAUUUGUUUACCUAAACUAUGUUUAUUUUGUUGUUUUUAUAAGAAUCGCGGCGCGUUGUGCCGAGAUAAAGAUGACCGGUGCCGGAUUAGGAAUUUUUACGCUCUGCGAUAAAAACGCUGCACGUCUUAUGCGUGGUGUUCCGUCUUCAAACCCUUUAAAAUUCGAUACUAUUUCUCUCCUAUAGUUCUUCCUGUGAUACGGAAAAAUUAAAUUAAAGAAACAUCUCUCUGUAAAUAUAGGUACGUUAUGCGAAUAUAUUAUAGGUCCAUGAAAAUUUCACACCCGGAGAUAAAUCUCCGCUUCUCUCCUUCUCCCAAGUUCCAGUUACUCUGAAUGCGGUCUAGACUGGGAUUCUGGGAACGGGAACUUGGGAAUUUUCAAAAAGAUAUAUCAUGGAUUCUGGGAAAAAUAAACCAUAAAAAAAAUGAACGACCAAACGAAACACUAAACAAUAGUAUAUAUGAAUAUAUUAUACUUUAUAACGUAAUAAAUUAUGUUCUAUGAGACAAUUGAAAUCGGAAUUGAUUUUAUAUAGGUACAUUAAUUGUUUAAUUUAAAAAAUAUAAUUUGUAUAUUGUAAUUGAAAUUAGGUACUUAACAACGAAUUUUUAAUUAGUAUAUAUGCGGUAAACUAAAUGGAUUUAUUAGGAAAAUAAUAAAAUAUUACAAGAUAAAAUAAGAAACGACGAAAUUCUCGAAGAUCGUUUCGCAAACCGGGAUAAUAAUAUUAUAUCCUCGAAUUUCGAAAAUACUCGAAAUAUUCUAUAUGGAAUAUAAGCAAUAUACGGAACUCAAUAUAAUAUCAAUCUAUUAGAAUGUCCAAUUUAAUUAUACGGGAACCGUUAAACUCCUAUAAUAUAUUAUAUUUAUUAUCAAUACGCGACGCGAGUUUAAUCCUUGUCUCGGAGGAAGUUUUGAGGAUCGAAGGAAUAAAAAUAAAACGCGUACGCCGGGUGCUGCGGCGUAAAACUCAUCGCGUAUAUACUAUAUUUAUAGACACACCGAUAUUCGAACCUAAUGGGAUUUUAAAUUUGGAGUUUUUUAUUUUUUUUUCACCCAUUAUUUAUUCCUUAUGGAAAACAUACGUGAAAAAUCUUAAUCGACCUUCCGGUAGUACUGUAUACACGCACGUGUCGUUCGAAAACAUUUUUAAACGCAUCAAUAUCAUCAUACACUCAACGGUCCGUCCGUGUCGUUAUUAUAUUACGAUACGGUAUUCUCAUCUGUGUGUUAUAUUUCAUAAAUUAUUGAUUCUUAACGUUUUUAACCCAACUCCUGCACCCCUGGGAGAAUUUCGGUCACUCGAGAGCGGUCUUUAAGUUUGGGAGAGAGGGAGGGUGAGUUUUGGUAAAAAAUCGAGUUGUUGCUUUUUUUCUUCCCGUCCACGAAUCUAGCCGAAAAAGGAUUCGGCGUUAUUGUCGUUUGGUUAUUUUUACGAAACGAAUGUAUUUGGUCGAACAUUAUAACUGCAAAUAAAGGUGCAGAUUCGCGUUUAACUUUUAAACCGGCAUCGCAAACUUAGCAUCUACUCAUCAGGCUCGGAGCGGUCGCCUAUAAGAGGAAUAACGAAACAUUAUUUUUUGCAGUUUGUAAUUAAGUGGAGUGACGUUAAGCACAUCGUUUAUACUGUCUCCUUCAAACGAGAAUGUUAAUUUUGUAAUAUAUAUUUACGAAAAUGUUUUGGUCGGCGGUAUGUUGGGGGGAGGAGAAGCGUCGGCGGUCGGUUAUCUCGGUAAGGGGGCGCUGAACCGAAAGAGGUUAAGAACCACUACAGUAGUUAUUCGUAAUAAACGAACGCGUUUGCUCUGGGCCGUUUUCAAGAACGUCUCCCCGCGAGUCGUAGUGUACACGCUUACAAUGUUAUUCGAAUGACGAAUGUAACAAUAUUAUUAUUAUUAGAAUCGAGAACGAGGGUCGAAUAAAAGCUAAUUGACGGCGCGACUACGACCCAAAGAAGGACCGUGUCGCCGUAUAUAUUAUACGCGUACAUAUAAAUAAUUUCUUACCGAUCUCAUUUUAUAAAUGGGACAUAUUUGGACGACUAUUAUUUAUUGGUAUUGCGAAUACUCGUUCUCGAUCACUAUACGCGCGUCUCAUAUCGAGUGGGCGUGAAUCGGACUUAAUUGGGCGGUGCGAAGUUAAAAUAGUUUACGUAACUGUCGUUUUCCUUUGAUAUUAUAUAUUGAUACGAAUGAAAUAAUAUAUCGGUAGGUACUUGUAAUAUUUUAGACGAUUUUCAGGGGCGAGAAAACCUGAAACCGCGGGUACGUGCAUUUAAAUAAGACUAUAUAAUAUGAUAUUAUGAGCGGAUACGUAAUAGAUAAGGAUACGAGACCCCCCCCCAAAAAAAAAACGAAUAGUUACGAGAGGGUGAAACGUGCGUGGAGGCUCGUGAAAAACAAUUUCUUACAUAGGUUUUGAUAUUUUCCGAGGGGGAGAGGGGAGGAGGACACGCGGGAGUAAGGUAUAGUAAGUAUGUAUGUAGUAGGUAUGUCGAAUACCUUUAAAAAUACUUAUUUUCGGAAUUAUUCAAUGCUGUAAUAUUCCGAAGAGUUUUAAAAAUUAUUUUACGUGUUAAAAGAAUAAUAAUUUUUGUCGAUGUCAGUUUAGAGCCUAUAUAAUAUAUCUCGCGGAAAAUACUUUUUCGGUUACCUUGUAAAAAUAAUCCAAUUCUAUCACACUCCGACUCUAUAUGAUGCGGUAUUUCCACGCGGAGGUACUUGAUCGAAAAUAUUUUUCAAAAUUCCCAACGGUUCACCGGCCUUCGCUCUUUAUUUUAUAUUUAUUUUUUUUUUAUCUCGAGAAGUAUUAAUUUUCAGUUAGUUCACUCCUUGACAGUGCUGACACCCGUCGUCAGCAGAUCAACUUGAAUAAUUAAUCCGAAUACUUUUAAAAAGUAUUUUACCCAAAUCUGAGAACAUUUCCCUUUCCUCCUUAUUGGGCGCCCACCGCGGUGUAUUACAAUAACAUUUUUGCACAAACCAAUCCGAUAUAAUGAUGCCGCGUUCAACCAAACAAUAUACUAUAAUAACGUACUAUUUAUUUAUUUGAUAUUCGAACACGAUCCGCUAUACGAAUAUUACAUUAUAAAAAGAAUUAAGUAUUAUUAAUAUUAAAAAAAAAAAAAAAAACACAUUUUUACGCGAUAUCUUAUUAGAAAGCAUUAAUAUAAUUAUAAAUCAUUUACGGCUAAUACAUAUUAUUAUAUUGUCGAUAUCGUGUUGCGCAGACCGAGUGCAAGUAUGACGGUUUGAACAACCAAACCUUGUUUAUAUAAUAUAGUCUAACCUCUACUCGACUUUAUCUGAUAAGGAAUUAUUGUUAUUACACGGAAAACAAAAUGUAUUUAUUUGCAUUUCACAAUUUUAUAAUAAUAAUAUUGAAAAUACGUGUGCCUGAUGUGGCUCAUUAUGAAAACUCGUGUGGGAGGGGGGUCCGGGUGUUCUAAAUUACAUUACGAAUAAAAAAUAUGAAAUGGAUACGCGAACCGAAAUUAUUUUGCGGCUGGCACAGAUACAUAACACAAAUAGAUAGCCGAUUUGACGAUUCAAAUUGAAGCCAGGCAUCCAUAUGCGAAAAGGGCAAAAUUCGACUGGACUAAUCCAUGAGAUUUUAGACUAUUCCGUGGAAUAUAAUAUAACAACAACAAUUUAUGAUUAGAUAUCUAUGCCAAAAAUAAAUGACUUUUAAAAUGGUUUUUUUUUUUUUUUUUUUUUCAUUAAAUGUGUUUCGUUCGAUUUAUCAUAUAAUCCGCGGAGUAAUUAAAUAUUUCAUAGAUUAAUCGAUCGUAUUUGGUCCUUUUCACAUACGGCUAUCAAACUCUAUGGGUCUUGCGAGACUUAAACACAGACUUGAGUACCUCGUUGUUAUAUGCAUGUAUACAUAUCUGUGGCGGUUCGAUAUAAACGCAAAGAUAACAAAAAAUUUGAUAGGCCACUCCUAUAACAAUUGCAGUAUUUGUUGUUGUUGUUGUUUCGGUGUUCCCAGAAGAGCGGUAAACUGAGGCGAUUUACUGUCCAUAACUAUAAUAUCGAUAAAACGCCUCACUUUACCAAACUUGGAGUAACUGUACCCGUUCCUCUUGAAACACGGAUGAGAUAUGGAUGGCCUAUAUCCAUAUCUUCAUAAUCUAUGUAUAAACGUAUAGAAUUAUUGCGAAUUGCUUCUCGAAAAACGUCCGAGGAAAUAAUUAUGUAAACAAUGGAAAAAUGUCUGAAAGUGUUCGUGUAGGGCGUAGGGCGUGUUAUUAAAAUAUUUUAUUAUAUUCACAUUUGCGUAUUAUUUUAUGUGGACAAAUGGGUGUGCUAAUGUAUGUGUUUCGUUUGUGUGUUUUACAGGUGUUCGGGAACGGUACACACGACACCGGAAAACGACGGUCCGCGAGCUUUUUGUCGG
rnacentral:lncRNA from 1 species